AUGAUGAAGAUGACGCACGACGACUACGUCCACCUCUGCCUCAUGGCGCUCGCCUCCGUGGCCACCGGCGGCGACCAAGCACAGGCAGCGGAGGGGCAAUGGCUGCAUACCGUGACUGCGGCGGCGCCAGCAGCCUGCGAGCUUCGGUUCCGGUGCUCCGUAUGCGGCAAGGCGUUCCCGUCCCACCAGGCGCUCGGCGGGCACAAGGCCAGCCACAGGAAACGGGCGGCGCUCGUGCUGCCGCUACAAAGCGUGUCGCCGGCGGAGGAGGCGGUGGCAUCGUCGACGUCGUCUGGCGUCGGCGGGCACAGGUGCUCCGUGUGCCACCGGAGCUUCGCGACGGGGCAGGCGCUCGGCGGACACAAGCGGUGCCAUUACUGGGACGGGCUGUCGGUGUCGCUGACGGCGUCGGCGUCGGGUUCCGGGUCGUCCGCGAGGGAUUUCGACCUCAACCUGACGCCGGUGCCGGAGAAGGCCGCCGCCGGCAUGCGAAGGUGGGGAGAGGAGGAGGAGGUGCAGAGCCCCUUGCCGUUCAAGAAGCGGCGGCUGUCAAGUCCUUCCUUGGAGCUUAAUUUAAUACUCCUUGAUUAA
rnacentral:rRNA from 1 species